UUGUAGAGAUCCAUCCAUCAUGGAUCUUAGCAAGCUAGUGGGAGCUAUAAGCAUCUUAUGCGAAAAGGAUCAAAUCGUUUGAUUUCUCAUAAAGAUGUAAAUGAAUCUUUUGUUUACUAGGUUUACAAAAGAUUAGUGGGAGUUAAUAAUGUUCCUAAAAUUUAAAAUAUAUAUAUGAUAUAUUAAUUUUGGAAAUGAAAAGAAUACUUCUUCUUUAAAGUUAUGACUUUAAAACAUUAUAUGAAGAUAGAAUGUAUAUGGGAGACAUAGUCUAUGAACAAGGGAUGGAAAUCUAUAUUGAUAGAUUUUAGGAUAUAAUUGGAUUAUAUCAUACCCUAAUAAUAGACAAAAUAUGCUAGGAAGUUUCUCAUAUGAUGAUAAACUUCAAUUAGGAGGACAACUCUAGUGAGACUAAGAAGUUGCUCUUCUCAAAGAGAACGUACUCUUUGACUCCCAAAGAAAUAAUGCGUAAAUAUAAUCCUUUAUGCAUACGCAAAAAGGUGAUUUAUGUAUUUCAUAUUGUAUGAAAAACAUUGAUAUGAGUUAUACCUAGAACGGUACAAGACGAUAUCAGUGCAAGCCCAGGAUCAGAACCAUGGCAACUGUCGGUGAGUCCUUAAGUAUUUAAGAAAUACUAAAGGAUAGAUUCCUCAAAGAUUGAGGAAGAAUUAGAGUAAUGUAAUGGAAGCGUAAAUGUAUUAGAUUAUGAAUCUAAUCCAUCAUUGGAUGUUUCUUCAUUAUGAAUGAAGAGAUAAACGGAUAUCUUUUUAUUAUGACUAAAGAGAUAUUUGGAUGGAAACAUUAAAGUAAUGACUUUAGUGUGUUCCAUUAUGAAUGCAAGAUAUAUUGCCAUAUAGAAGUUAACAACAAUGUUGUUUGGAUGGGAAAGUUCAUUUAUGAACUCUCUAUUCGGUUCCAACCAGAAAGUGUCUGACACUAAUGGGGCGAUAGCUUAAGCCAAGGAAUCAAGGUCUCAUCAAGGUCCGAACUCAUAUAAGAGACUGAACCACAUGAUUGAGAAUCAUGUAUAAUGGUGACGUCGUUAUUCUCAAGGUUGCUUCUAUGGAUAACAUAUAGAUAUCCAUUGUCUAGGCCUACUAUUCAGCCAUUUAUGAAAUGACUACAGAAGAGGUAUCAUCACAGAUGACCAAGCUGAUUGGCUCUAGUGCAAGUGGGAGAUUGUUGGAAAUGUGCCCUAAAACCAAUCAUAUGAUGAUACUUUACGGACAUUUCACAUGUUAAACUAAUCUAGUUUAACUAUAAAGGGCAAAGAUUAUUGUUUGAGCCGUCUCAUAUAAAUGUUAUAUGCUUAAACGAUAAAGUCCAAGGAAUAUGUGAUUGGGAGAAUGCGAUCUAAAGAAGUUAGAUUCAUGAGACCAUUCUUUCGUAGACACAUCCUAAACGUUCCUGAUCAUAGGAUUGCCAAUUGGGCAUUGACAGUCCGGUAAGAUCAGUACGUGCUAUAUCUUCUCUCAAUGAGAGUGACUAGUCUCGAGUCAUUGGUGUGUGUGACAUCAAGACAAGUACGUAGGUGCUCAAUAGAGAAUGAGUUCACUGAACACGAUCAACGAAGAGUUCUCAUAUUCAUGUCACAUGAGAACUCAUGGUUGGGAUAAUGCAAAGUAGCCCUUUGACCUGAGGCAUCACAGUUGUCUUGUGGUUAAGUACUUGAUCUUUGAUUAUGUCAAAGUCACCCUAUCGGGGUGUCCACGGCAUCAUUGGGGUUAAGCCACUUAGUCAUGGAGACAAGUGAAUGCGCAACAAGGGAUCUCUAACCUUCAAACCAUUGGGGGAGAAUACUCUAUGAUAUGAUUUAGAAUCUCUGGCCAGAGUAUGAAUGAGAUUUAGAAAAGUCGUUCUAAAUCACAUUCAAGGUAAUCAUAUAAGCACACGAAUCACAUUGGAUAGUAGACAUGAAUAAAUAAACUAUCAAACCAAACAAUGUGGUCAAGAGUAUUGUAUUAGAGAAAGACCGUAUUGCAUUUGUAAUCCCAAACUGAAUAGGUUCUUCACCUCUUCUGAUUAGCUUGGGUAACCAUGAUAUGCUGCUAGGUGUCACUCAUGGUUUGUGGAAGCCCUAAACGUGUGUAAUCGUUAAAGGGAGAAUUGAAAGUAAGUUUCAAUUCACAAUCGAUUUAAAAGAGUUCUAAUCGCCCACUGCCUCGCUAAAAGGAACCUAAUGGAUCGUACACCGUGUAAGGUGGAGAUUGAAGAAACAAUGGAGAUGAGUAAGAAUGAUUAAAUAGUUUAAUUAUUUAUUUAUGGCAAGGAUUAAUUAAUAUGUUAAUUAGUCAAACGAAUAAAGUUCGUUAAAAGACCACGGGUUAGUUUUGGGCCUCAAGGCCCAAUGGGCUUCGAACUUCAAGUCCAUUGACUUAAGUUGUAUGACAACUUAAUUCACAAAGGCCCAAAAGCCCAAACCCCAUGGCCGGCCAUUUAGAGGAAGGGUAGUGAACUUGCUUUAAUUACAAGUUUGCCACUCAAAUGAAUAAAGGUAUAAAUAUGACUUUAUAGCCAAAAUUCAUUUAGGGUUUGUUUUGGAGAAAAUUGGAGAGAACAUGUCUCUCCAUUUCUCUCUAAAGAGGCCGGCCCCUUGGAGGGUGUAUCUAGCCAUACUAACUACUCCAAGGUCACUCAUUUCUUCUCCAAUCUAACCUUGGUGAAGAUACUUAGAGGUUCUCAAUUUUGGGAACUUGGAGAAACCUUUUCAUCCAUCCAAAUCCAUAGAUUUUAUAUGCAAGGAAUGAAUGCCCUCUCUUUGGGUGAUUAGCCUUUGCUUAUGCAAAGAGGAAUCUACAAAGGUAUAUUUCUCAACUUACUUAGAUUUGAGUUGAGUCUUGGUUCACCAAUCUACUAGGCUUUGAAUUUCAUGGGUAAUGUUUUGUUUUUGAGUGCAUGCAAGCAUGAUUCCGCCUUUAAUUGUUAAUUGCAUGCUAUAUGAUGUUGCUCAAAUGAACAUGUUUUCACAAAAUCUUCCUUCAGAUCAAGCCCAAAAGCCCUUGAAGAUCCGUCAAUCAUUGUUCUUCAAGAUCAAGCCCAAAAGCCCUUGAAGAUCCGUUCAUCACCGUUAUUCAAGAUCAAGCCUCAAUGGCCCUUGAAGAAACGCUCAUCCUCAAGAUCAAGCCCCAACGGCUCCUUGAAGAUCCGCUCAAAUCCACCUUCAAGAUCAAGCCCACGGCCCUUGAAGAACGUUCAUCCUUAGAUCAAGCCCAACAGCCCUUUGGAUCAAUCGCACAUCCACAAAUCAACACCUUACGAAGAUCGAAUCAAAGGAUCAAAUUUGAGAGAGAUUGUAACCCAAAAUCAUUAACACCGAAAUUUUAUUUUGUACACGUGUUCUUGUCUCGUUUGUUUCAGGAAAAUUCCGUGUUUACAAUACCCACUUUUUAUAAAAGCACCUCAGUACCAAAUCAGUACCUAGAAUUUUUUUCACUUUUUCAAGGUUACGAGUCAAUUGGACUAAAGCAUCCUUGAUGGGUUGCUUUUGGGUUGGCGCCUCUUUGGGUGGGAAACAAUCUCAUCUUAUCCAUAUCCAAUAGCCCAUUUACUAAAACAAACCUCACUUAGGCCAUCUCCAACUAGACUUGACAAUUUCUUACACGACAUAUAAACGAUACGAAAAUAACGGGUUUAAGGUCAACACGAUCACUAAUCUGGUCAUUAUCGGGUCACACGAUAAUAACCCGUUAAUAAUGGGUUCUUAACAGGUUUACACGAGAGUGACAUGUAACCUGUUUCGACAUGAUAAGAAAAAAGUUAUUUUGAUGAUUUAAAAAUUUCAAACUACUAAAAAAAACUUACUAUAAAAUACAAUAGAUAUAAUGAAUAUGUAUAUAUUGUUUAUUAAUUAUUAUUCUAUAUAAAUUUUAAAUUUUUAUUUUUAUUUAUUUAUUUAUUUUUAUAGUAUAUUAUAGGCAAAGAUUGAAAUUAAAAAUCAUAAAACACAUUAAAAAUAAAAAUAUCAAGUAAUUUAAAAAUACCAAACACAUUAAAAACAAUUAUAAUAAUUAAUUUACAUGUGUGAAAAAUAUGAAAAAAAUAUACAAAUGCUCGUAGUUGCAUCCUCUACGUUUUGAGGAUGGGUAUAUGAUCGUUUGAAUUUUUAAAACCAAACAAACUCUCAUGAAUAGUAUUUUUAAGGAAGUUCAAAAUAAACAAAAUUCAUAAUCAUUAAUGUAAUAUCCCACAUCGCUCAGAGGAGUGGAUCCUGUAAGCCUUAUAUGUAAAUUCCCAUCUCUACCUAGCACGAGGUCUUUUGGGAGCUCACUGGCUUUGGGUUCCAACGGAACUCCGAAGUUAAGCAAGUUCACGUGAGAGCAAUCCCAUGAUGGGCGACCUAUUGGGAAGUUCUCGUGUGAGUUCCCAGAAACAAAACCAUGAGGGCAUGGUCGAGGCCCAAAGUGAACAAUAUCGUGUUACGGCGGAGUCGAGCCCGGGAUGUGGUGGGGGCCUAGACUGGGAUGUGACAAUUUGGUAUCAGAGCCAAUCCCUGGCCGGAAGUGUGCUGACGAGGAAAUCGGGCCCCUAAGGAGGUGGAUUGUAACAUCCCACAUCGCCUAGGGGAGUGGAUCCUGUAAGCCUUAUAUGUAACCCAUCUUUAAGCACGAGGCUUUUUAGGAACUCAUUGGCUUCGGGUUCCAUCGAAACUCCGAAGUUAAGCGAGUUCGUGUGAGAGCAAUCCCAUGAUGGGUGACCCACUGGGAAGUUCUUGUGUGAGUUCCCAGAAACAAAACCGUGAGGGCAUGGUCGGGGCCCAAAGCGGACAAUAUCGUGCUACGGUGGAGUCGAGCCUGGGAUGUGGUAGGGGCCCAAGCCGGGAUGUGACAAUUAAUGUAUAAGUCUGAAAGAUGUGAAAGCAUAAUAAAUGUUCAUAAUUGCAUCCUCAACGCUUAAACCCUCCAACUCUUAUGAACAGUGUUUUUUACUUGAGUCCAAAUUAAUAUAAUUAAUAAUAAUUAUUGUAGAAGUGUGAAAAAUGUAAUCACUCAUAAUGAAAAGCUUUACAACUUUCAUGAAGGGGUCAACUCCAAAAUUUAGUAUGUAUAUACUAAUUUAGUAUUAUAUUUUACAUUUUUUGGGGUCAAAUUAUGUUUUUCAUUUCAUUUUUAUUGAUUUAAAAUAUAUUUCUUAACGGGUAACAGGUCGCGUCAUAUUACUUGAUAAUAUUAACGGGUUAAUUUUGGGUCGGGUCAUAUUACCCAUUUACUUUAACGGGUAUUACACGAUAGGACCCAUUAAGCUAUUGGGUAUGACAUGAAAACGACACGAACAUGAGAAACACAGCAUGACCCGUAGCUAUUGGGUAUGACACGAAAAUGACAUAAACACGAGAAACACGACAUGAAUGCCAGGUCUAUCUCCAACCGAUCCGGCCAAAGGGUUAUAGGGCUAAAAAUAACCCGUUUUGACACGAAAACUGCCUCUAACUUAGGGCUAGGCCAAAGGGCUCAUAGGCCCCAUCCAUCGGCCAAAAGGCUAGCCAACCCACCAGCCUUAUAGCCCAGCCCAAGCACAUGCUACCUGAUGUCAGGUUACUGUUGACUUUUUUUAUUUUGACAAAAUUUACAAAAAAAAAAAUUUAAUUUUUUUUUUUAUAAAUACCUAACCCAUUUCUACCCCAUUUCUCACAUCAUUUUCACCUUUUCAUACUAUCUUACCGCAUUUUAUUUCAAUUCUUCACCAAUUUUUCACAUCCUUUUCAUUCUAUAAAGAUAAGAAACCGGAAGGCUUAUUAAUUUAGCGACAAGUGAUACUCAAAAUAUGUCCUAAAACCUUAUUUUAAUAUGGUAGUUCAAUUCAAUUAACCAUAUUAAUUCAAUUAAAUAAUAAAUUGUGUUUGACCUAUGACCCUUGGGUCCCCUCGGUUGGAGAUGAUUUUUUUGUCAAAGAGCUAUGUUUGGCCUAUGGCCCUUUGGCCCCAUUGGUUGGGAUGGUAUAAAAUAUAGCAUGACAGUGUUUAUUAAAAUAUAAUUUCUUGCAGGGCUAUAUGGCUAAAAAUGGCCCUUUGGCUCUCUUUCGGUUAGAGGCGGCCUAUUCUUAAUACAAUGGAUGACAAAAAACCCACCACUCAAAUUUAAUACAAAGAUAUAUUUACACUAUAAAGCAUAAUAAUAAACUGGUAUCGGCAACCAUUAAAUUUUAGGGUUCUUUAGAUAUAAGCCCAUGCAACACUUAUUUCCUCAAAAAUCGAUUUCAUUUUAAACAUCUAAAUUGUGACAGUCCGUCCCGAAGUAAAAUUUUCCAUGGUGUGAAUUGCCUAAAAUACCCUUAUACGUUUGUGGUGUUGUGUUGUGGACCAAUUACUUUCUUCCAACCUUUUAGACCCAAUUAGAACUAAAGGUUCUAAUUGUUUUGGUUGGUUGUAAGAGGAUCGGGACCACACACACACACUCUACCUCUCUCUCCCGUUGACCAUCUCUUUCUCUCUCUUCCCUCUCGGUUUCUCUCCAUUUUCAUAUCAUACGUACGGACGAACCUCAGCCAAGCCAUUUCUUCACGGAUCGAGGUUAUGGAGACCACUUUCAAGUUCCUUGCGAGCCCAGGAACCCAGUGAUACUAUUAUUUGGACAUGAAACCUCGAAAAAAACCCGAGAAACCAUAAUCUCCGAUUUGAGCACUGUUCAUACACUCGUGAAUGUGAGGUUUUUAGAAGUUUUUAAGCUGCUAGGAAGCUUUAGAACGUCUUCACGAAGCUCGGAGAAGAAAAAUGAGGUGUUUUGGACGUCGGGAAGUUGAGUUUGGUGAGGUUGAAAUUUGACUGGAAUUAUCGUGCUUUCUCCGACGAGAUCCCGUGAUUUUUGGAUCUUGAAAUUGUUUUUUGGCGACGGCGACGGUCACCGGAGUUCGAAGGAAGCUGACAGAUAAUAUUUUGUCAAGUUUGACGGAAUAUUCUAACAGCGUCAGGUGAGACCUAUCUCCAGGACGAGCGCAGUCAAGGGCGGCAUAGGGGCUACGACCUUUCGACAUACCAGUGAGUGGGCUUUUGGUUUUUAGUAUAUAUGUAUAUGCUUGGUAUCUUUCCCAGAAAGUGCAUUUAAAUGAGUUAUGAUUUAAAUUGCCAUGCCAAAUGUUUUACAUUUAGAAUAUGCAUAUGAUGUUUGCAUAUAUAUAUAUAUAUAUAUAUAUAUAUAUAUAUAUAUAUAUAUAUAUAUAUAUAUAUAUAAUUGUGGUGUUGUGGAUGCUCAGGUAAGCCCCAGGUAAGUUUAUGAAUUGUGAAUGUGAAUAACGAUUGUGAUUAAUUGAGAAACAUUGAGCUCAUAAACCUGCACCCCGAUGUUAGCGAUUUAGCCAGAGAUAUGGCACAAGCUUGUAUAUAAUGUCACAUACCGCACCAUAUGCUCACAUUGGAUCCAAUUUAGGUGCACAGUCUUGUCGUACAGACCAUCAUAGGUGGUUCCGACUUGUCGGUGACUAGUGAUUUAUCGCACAGCUAUCAUGAGAGCGUAGCAUUAAGCAUAAAUAUAUUACACCCAAUCUUCUCGUACAGACCUUUACAGUGGUUCCGACUCGUGUGCAGUGUAGUGCCGUAUAGGUCACUUGCAGUGAAUCUGGCUGUAUUGACUAAUGAGCUAUGAAUUCAGCCGUACAGACUUCUGCAAGGGUUCCGGCUAAUAUGUUAUUUUUCCAUGAAAUUAUUUUCACCUGAGUUACUUAUUCUGUUUUAUAUUUUAGCAUGGCAUACUUAUGAAUAUGGAUAUGUGAAGCAUGAUUUGAAUAUACAUUAUACAUGAUUUGAUAAAAUGAAAUGGUUUUGAAAAGCUUUGUUUUUGCCCACUCACACUUUCUGUUUUGCGCCUCUCCAGGUUUUAGAUAAGCUUGUUCGUUGGUGGCUCAUGAGGAUUUAUUGGAGGUUCUGACAGACUAUCACAAAUGUAGGACAUCUCUGGGUGUCGUUUAUCUAGUACUUGUUUUUUGGACUGAACUUAGGCUACUUACGCUUUGAUUAUGUAUUCACACAUAUUCUAGAAUUUGACUUAACUAGUACUCUUAUGAGUUGGUUUUCAUUUAUUCGUAUUCUCUAUUAUCAUUAUUGCUUCUGCAUUGUGCACAUGGCUACGUCACCCUCACGUGACGACCAGCAUGCCUCGAUCUCGGUCGGGGUGUGUAAGUUUGGUAUUAGAGCCUAGGUUUAGCAGUCCUGCAUAUCUUGUGAAUAAUUUAAUCUUUGUAAUGUCUCCUAUAAGAACUAUGCCGCCUUGUAGAGAGCCACGUCACUCAGCUAAGCCUAGUUUCCCUGAUAUUGCUCAGUUAAGGAAAGCUAUAGCUAAUGCCAUUCAAUCUUCGCUCUGCCCUCCUCAAAGGACACCUCUUGAGACUGUGUAUAAUCUGAAGUUGAAUCAUUUCAUGGGUAAUGAAGGACAUAAGGGAGUGGAGAAGUGGCUUAAUCAUGUCGAGAAGACUUUCCUUGUGAUGCAGAGUCAAGGGAAUCUUCCUCCUAAUAGGUGGAUCGAGACGACUACCUGGUUUCUGGGUCCGGAGCCCGGUGGAGAUAGGAGUCUUAUCAGAUGCCACCAGAGGUAGCAGUUGAUUGGGAAGUGUUUAAAUAGUUGUUUCAGAAAAGGUUGAUUCCCUCUGAGUAUAUUGAUCGCAAGAAACAAGAGUUUACGCAUCUGAAACAAGGAAAGAUGACAGCGAAUGAGUAUUACAUGAGGUUUACUGAUUUGUCUCGAUAUGAUCCAGAGGUUGCUGCUAAUCCGGUUGAGAUGUUUCAUCGUUUCAGAUUGGCUACUAAGAAGAAAUGGGGUUCUAUAGCGACAUUGACUCCAUGUGCCACUUACCAGGAGUUUUAUGAGGUUUUACUACGGAUUGAGGAUCAGAGAAUAUGCCCAGUUAAAGUGAAGAUGAAGAAGAAAAGAACAGGAACCAGAGGCGAGAUGAUAAAGGUAAGGGUCAAUCAUCUCAAGAACCUCGUAAGACCCAGAGUUUUAAGAGAAGUGGUGUCAGUUCCAGCUCUAAUGUAUAGAAGAGAGGUAGUAGUUUUUUUGGAAGCCCUAGAUUUCAGAAGCAGAGGGAUUUUAGUGGUUCAGGUACUCCUUUAUGCCGUAAGUGUAAUAAUAGGCAUUUUGGGAAAUGUAGGAGAGGCAGCAGUGCAUGCUAUACUUGUGGAUAGAUGGGGCAUAGGGCUGCACAUUGCUCUUAAAAUCAGCAGAGGCUUCAACAGCCUUCCUUACCACCACCUGCGCCGACCCAGCAAGCUUCAGAACCUAGUGGUUAUGCCCAGACUGGUCGUGGAGGUGUUUAUCAUUAUUAGGGUGACACCGCUCCGUAUACUUUAAGACAGUAUCAAUAUUCACUUGAUCCUCAUUAUCAGGGUGGUUACCCUCAGUACCAGGGAGGUUUUAUGCCAUACCAGGCACAUUCAGCAGGUGGAUCCCAGUGGUACCAGGAGGGACAACCCCAACAAGUAGAGAUUGCUGGUAGCAGUGCAGGAUCUUUAAGACUAUCAGGUCAGCCAAGACAAGGACUAGGUAUUCAUGCUAACAGAGGUCAUGGUAGACGACAGCAUAAUCAGGGACGUAUCCACAACAUGACAUUGCAGGAUGCUUUGAACAAUCUUGAUUCUAUCAUGGGUACGUUGAACAUUCUUGGUCAUUUUGCUAAAGUAUUAAUUGAUUGUGGUGCUAUGCAUUUUGUUGUUUCUCAUACAUUUGCUCAAGUGACGCAACCUCAUCCUAAACCUCUAGGAUAUGAUUUAAAGUUUUCUAUGCCUAGAGGGGAGAAAUGUUAUGUUGAUCAGGUGUAUCCAGGAUGUCCAGUGAUGGUGGAGGAUGUUGUUAUGCCAACUAAUCUUAUGCCGCUAGACAUUGUUGAUUUUGAUGUGAUUUUAGGCACUGAUUGGUUACACUACAAUCGUGCCAAGAUAGAUUGCUAUGGAAAGACAGUUACUUUCCAUCGUCCUGGGUUACCCGAAGUUACAUUUGUAGGAGAGCCUAGCAGGGUGAGGUAUGGUGUUAUUUCUGCCAUGAAAGCCAAAAGAUUGUUGUCGAAAGGUUGUCAAUGAUAUUUGGCUCAUGUGGUGUUGAAUGAUAAUGCUCCUAGUAGUGUGGAGGAUGUACGUGUGAUCAUGCAUUUUCUUGAUGUGUUCCCUGAUGAUUUUCCUGGAUUACCGCCAAACAGAGACGUAGAGUUUACUAUUGAUUUACUUCUAGGUAAGAAUCCUAUAUCUUUGACUCCAUAUAGAAUGGCUCCUGCUGAAUUAAGGGAAUUGAAAGUUCAGUUGCAGGAAUUGGUUGAUAAGGGAUUUAUUCAAUCUAGUACUUCACCUUGGGGAGCUCCAAUUUUAUUUGUGAGGAAGAAAGACGGAACCUUGAGGCUAUGCAUUGAUUACAAGUAAUUGAAUCGGGUAACAAUUAAGAACCGUUAUCCGUUGCCACGUAUAGAUGAUUUGUUUGAUCAACUUCGAGGUGUCUGUGUGUUCUCUAAGAUUGACUUAAGGUCUGGUUACUACCAGUUGAAGAUUAAAAGUGAAGAUGUCCCUAAAACAGCUUUCAGGACUCGAUAUGGUUUUUAUGAGUUUCUUGUGAUGCCAUUCGGGUUAACUAAUGCACUAGCAGCUUUCAUGGAUUUAAUGAAUCAAGUAUUCCAGCCAUAUUUGGACAGGUUUGUCAUUGUCUUCAUUGAUGAUAUUCUAGUAUACUCUAAGACUAGAGCAUAGCAUGCUAGACAUCUUAAAUUGGUGUUGAAAAGUUUGAGGGAACACCAGUUAUAUGCUAAGUUUAGCAAAUUCCAAUUCUGGUUAGAUCAAGUGCCAUUUUUGGGACAUGUUAUAUCAGCUCAAGGUAUUCGAGUAGAUUCUCAAAAAGUGGCAGCUGUAAAGAAUUGGGAACAACUUCGAACUGUCACUGUGAAGGAAUAUUUUGUGAAAACAUGUUCAUUUGAAUAACAUCUAUAGCAUGCUAAUAACAAUUAAAAGGCGGAAUCAUGCUUGCAUGCAUUCAAAAACAAAACAUUAACCAAGAAAUUCAAAGCCUAGUACAUUGGUGAACCAUUAAUCAACUCAAAACAAAGUGAGUUGAGAUUUAUACCUUUGUAGAUUCCUCUUUGCAUAAGCAAAGGCUAAUCACCCAAAGAGAGGGCCUUCAUUCCUUGCAUCUAAAACCUAUGGAUUUGGAUGGAAGAAUAGGUUUCUCCAAGUUCCCAAAAUUGAGAACCUCUAAGUCUCUUCACCAAGGAGAGAUUGGAGAAGAAAUGAGUGACCUUGGAGUAGUGGGAUUGCAAGAUGCACCCCCAAGGUGGCCGGCCUCUUUAGAGAGAAAUGGAGAGACAAGUUCUCACCAAUUUUCUCCAAAAACAAACCCUAAUGAAUUUUGGCUAUAAAGUCAUAUUUAUACCUUUAUUCAUUUGAGUGGCAAACUUGUAAAUAAGUCCAAGUUCACUACCCUAAACAUCAUGGCCGGCCUUGGGGUAUUUUUGGGUUGUUUGGGCCUUUGUGAAUCAUUAUUCAUUAAGUUGUCAUACAACUUAAGUUAAUGGGCUUGACGUUCGAAGCCCAUUGGGCCUUAAGGUCCAAAACUAUCCCGAGGUCUUUAACGAACUUAUUCGUUUGAUUAAUUAACAUAUUAAUUAAUCCUUGCCAUAAAUAAAUGAUUAAACCAUUUAAUCAUUCUUACUCAUCUCCAUUGUUUCUUCAAUCUCCUCCUUACACGGUGUGCAAUCCAUUAGGUUCCUUUUAGCGAGGCAGUGGGUGAUUAAAACCAUUUUACAUCGAUUGUGAAUUGAAACUUACUUUCAAUUCUCCCUUUAGUGAUUACACACAUUUAGGGCUUCCACAAACCAUGAGUGACACCUUGCAGCAUAUCAUGGUUACCCAAGCUAAUCAGAAGAGGUAGAGAAAACCUAUUCAGUUUGGGAUUACAAAUGCAAUACGGUCUUUCUCUAAUACAAUACUCUUGACCACAUUGUUUGGUUUGAUAGUUUAUUUAUUCAUGUCUACUAUCCAAUGUGAUUCGUGUGCUUAUAUGAUUACCUUGAAUGUGAUUUGGAACGUUUUCCUAAAUCUCAUUCAUACUUUGGCCAAAGAUUCUUAAUCAUAUCAUAGAGUAUUCUCCCUCAAACAGUUUGAAGGUUAGAGAUCCCUUGUUGCGCAUUCACUUGCCUCCAUGACUAAGUGGCUUAACCCCAACGAUGCCGUGGACACUCCAAUGGAAUGACGUUUGACAUAAUCAAAGAUCAAGGACUUAACCACGUGACAACUGUGAUGCCUCAGGUCAAAUGACUACUUUGCAUUAUCCCAACCAUGAGUUCUCAUGUGACAUGAGUAUGAGAACUCUUCGUUGAUCGCGUUCAGUGAACUCAUUCUCUACUGAGCACCUACGUACUUGUCUUGAUGUCACACACUGUUGGAAAUGUGCCCUAAAGCCAAUCAUGUGAUGAUACUUUACGGACAUUUCACAUGUUAAACUAAUCUAGUUUUACAUAUAAAGGGCAAAGAUUAUUGUUUGAGCCGUCUCAUAUAAAUGUUAUAUGCUUAAACGAUAAAGUCCAAGGAAUAUGUGAUUGGGAGAAUGUAAUCUAAUGAAGUUAGAUUCAUGAGACCAUUCUUUCGUAGACACAUCCUAAACGUUCCUGAUCAUAGGAUUGCCAAUUGGGCAUUGACAGUCCGUCAAGAUCGGUACGUACUAUGUCUUCUCUCAGGGAGAGUGAUUAGUCUCGAAUCAUUGGUGUGUGUGACAUCAAGACAAGUGCGGUAGGUGCUCAAUAGAGAAUGAGUUCACUGAACGCGAUCAACGAAGAGUUCUCAUAUUCCAUGUCACAUGAGAACUCAUGGUUGGGAUAAUGCAAAUUAGUCCUUUGACCUGAGGCAUCAUAGUUGUCUUGUGGUUAAGACCUUGAUCUUUGAUUAUGUCAAAGUCACUCCAUCAGGAGGGUGUCCACGGCAUCGUUGGGGUCAAGCCGCUUAGCUAUGGAGACAAGUGAAUGCGCAACAAGGGAUCUCUAACCUUCAAAACCGUUUGAGGGAGAAUACUCUCUGAUAUGAUUUGAAUCUCUGGCCAGAGUAUGAAUGAGAUUAGGGAAUGCGUUCCGAAUCACAUUCAAGGUAAUCAUAUAAGCACAAGACACACAUUGGAUAGUAGACAUGAGAAAAUAAACUAUCAAACCAAACAAUGUGGUCAAGAGUAUUAGAUUAGAGAAGGACCGUAUUGCAUUUGUAAUCUCGAACUGAAUAGGUUCUCUAACCUCUUCUGAUUAGCUUGGGUAACCAUGAUAUGCUGGUAGGUGUCACUCAUGGUUUGUGGAAGCCCUAAACGUGUAUAAUCACUAAAGGGAGAAUUGAAAAUAGUUUCAAUUCACAAUCGAUGUAAAAUGGUUUUAAUCGCCCACUACCUCGCUAAAAGGAACCUAAUGGAUCGCACACCGUAAAAGGUGGAGAUUGGAGAUUAAACGGAAAUGAGUAAGAAUGAUUAAAUGGUUUAAUCAUUUAUUUAUGGCAAGGAUUAAUUAAUAUGUUAAUUAAUCAAACGAAUAAGUUCGUUAAAGACUUCGGGAUAGUUUUGGACCUUAAGGCCCAAUGGGCUUCGAACGUCAAGCCCAUUAACUUAAGUUGUAUGACAAUUUAAUGAAUAAAGAUUCAUUAAAGCCCAAAAGCCCAAAAAUCCCCUAAAUGGCCAGCCAUGAUGAAAUGAAUUAGGGUUUUGGUUGUUUAGGUCACUUAAAGAAGUGACUAUAUAAAUGAUUUUAUAGCCAAAUAUUCAUUAAGUGAAAAAUGGGUUUAUUUUUGGGGAAAAUAGGUGAGAAUUGUCUCUCCAUUUUCUCUCUAAAAAGAGGCCAACACCUUGGAGGGUACAUCUAGCAAUCCUACUACUCCAAGGUCACUCAUUUCUUCUACAAUCGAACCUUGGUGUCGAGAACUUAGAGGUUCUCAAUUUUGGGAACUUGGAGAACCUAUUCUUCCAUCCAAAUCCAUGGAUCUAAGAAGCAAGGAAUGAAGGCCCUUAUCUCUUUGGGUGAUUAGCCUUUGCUUAUGCAAAGAGGAAUCUACAAAGGUAUUUUUCAACUCACUUUGUUUUUGAGUUGAUUAUUGGUUCACCAAUCUACUAGGCUUUGAAUUUCAUGGGUAAAUGUUUUGUUUUUGAGUGCAUGUAAGCAUGAUUCCGCCUUUAAUUGUUAAUUGCAUGCUAUAUGAUGUUGCUCAAAUGAACAUGUUUUACAAAAUAAUUCCUUCAAGUGGUAUCAGAGCCUAGGUCUAGUAGUUGGUGAAUCCUUUUGGUGUUUUGUAGUUCAUAAGUUUGUGAUUUAAAAGUUGUAAUUGUUACAAGCUUUAUUCUUGCUUCUUUGAAUGUAAAUUUUGUUGGAAAAUUUGCCUAUCUCAAAUGUUGUAGAUGUAGUUCAUAUGAGCAUGAAUAUUGGAGCUAAAAUUUGGUGCCAUGCUUUUGGGAAAAUUCGGCCAAAUCCAAAGGGUGGAUUUUUUGGGUUCUUGUUUGACUUGUUAAAAGUGUUUUCAAUGUGUUUUUGGAACCCCUAAGUACCCUAGUUUGGUUAGAUGUUAUUUCCCUUAAGUUAAGAAUGGUUUUGGAAUGUUUUUGGGUGGAAAAAAGUUCAUGGAAAAAAUUUGGGUUUUUCAUGGAUGUUCUUCAUUGUUCUUGAUGUUCUUGCCAAGAACAAAAAGGUUUGGUGUUUUGAUUCAAAGUUUUGAAAUUAUUUCAUAAAGUUAUAUGUGAUAUGUUUUUAAAUGAUUUAUUAUGUAUUUAAAGUGUUAGAUAUUUGUAUAAAUGAUGAUUGAAAUAAUUGUGAUUGAAUUAUUUCAAAACUUAUCUUACAUACACUUGCAUGUUUUUGACAAAACUCACAAAUCAACACACACCAACCUUAUCCCUCCCAAAACCGGCCACUCCCUCAAAGGGAGUACUUUUGGGGCUUUUAUGCAAUUACAUAAAGUUUUGAUACUUUUGUGUAUUUGCACUUUGGCCCAAAAGUUUACGUUUUUACGUUUAAGGUCCAAAAACGCUAAAGGACAAAUUGUUUUGUUCCUUUAAUGAAGUUUUUGCAUUAUUAAAAGUUUGGGUUCUAGUUGUAAUUUACAUGAAGUAGUGGACUUUUGUGUAUUUACAAAGUGACCCCAAAAGUUUUUUGUUAUUGCAAUAUGGCCCAAAAGUUGUGGUUUAUUGCAUGAUGGCCCAAAUUAGGAUGAGAACAAAAUUGUUUUGUCUCUUUAAAUGAGAAUUGGAUUUUCAUUUUUGUUUAGCUCCAUUUAAAUCAAUUUUAUGGAUACAAAAACCAAAUGAAAAUGUUGCAUUCAAUUUAAUUAGUUAAAGUGUUAAUUAAUUAAAGGGUGAUUAUGAACCUAAGCCUAAUAUAAUUGAGCUAUGUGAAAGGCCGUUUCAAAUUUGUUUGAACCAUGGGAAUGUGUAGAUUAGAUUUUGGUUGUAAUUUGAUUUGAUCAAAUGUUGUAAAAGGGCUUAAGCUCUUCUUACUUUAAAGUAAUUUGUUUUAUGCAAAUGUUGUAAUGAGCAUAAGCUCACCUUUACUUUGAAGUACUUCUUUCUUGCUUUAUAUGAUAUGCAUGAAAAUGAAGUAGUUGGGUCCAACGCCCCUAAGACAACACGCCUUAAUGUGAUUAAACGCGUAACUAAAAUCAAUCACCAUUCCUAGACCGAGAUUCAACACAAGGCUCGUGUUGAAUCUAAACAAAGGUUCAUAAUCAUCCUAAGGCCCUAAGGCAACUAUAUAGUCCAUCAAAUGAAUGCAAAGUUUAUGUUAGUAGUAUCAUAUACUCUUGCUUUAAAAACCGUUUUAAAAGCAUAGUGGGAGUAUUAUAUACAACUAAAACAAUGAGAUGGACCAAUAGUUGUAAUAGGACCAAAAUUGUUUUAAUAGAGAUUAAAAUGUAUGUUUAUAUGUGAUGAGACCUAAAAAACCCUCAACCAAACCAUUAUUAAGUUGAUAAGCGUGAGAGUGCUUUAGAACAUCUCUUUCGUGGCCUUCCACCGUGGUGGGCUCCAAUCGUUUAUGACUUGUACACCGGCUUCACCCUAUCAUGGGGGAGUACAAAGUGCAUGCUUAUACUCAGGAGGAAUCCAUAUACAUAUGAUGAGGUGAGUGUAGGCAACGAGGAUAGCCAAUAUCGUAUCAUUCGUGAGGCUAUUCUUGAACCCCUUCACGAACUAAGCAUGGUGGGAAUGAACUUAACUAAGUGCAAUGGAGCCAAUAUCAUAUCAUUGUGAGGUUACAUUCUCUAGAGGCCAAAUAAGAUGGGUACUUGCAUUGAGUUGCAAAUGAGUAAGCGUACUCUCUCAUUAUUAUUGUUGCUAGCCAAUAUCAUAUCAUUCGUGAGGUGGGCUUGGUAAUAGUGAGCCUCCCAUAACCUACUAGGAGUUUCAUCCAAAACUCUCGAAUUCCAAUGAGGGAUAUGGAAUUUGCCAAAAAUAGUGGGUGGUGCUAUUUUGAUUUAAAGACCCGAAUCAAAUGGCUUAAAAUCAAUCAAUUUAUAUUCGUUAUGUAUUUGUUUACCAAAUAUAUUUGCAAACGCUAUCCAACACUUGACAAAAAGCCGAACGUUUAGUUUCCGGACUUGGUACUACAAAACCAUAGAUUGUCUUUAAUGGCUUGUAAAUGUACCUAAGUAGUCUCAUCCUCACAAUCUUCCUAUUGAUAAUGUAUCAUUAGAAGAAUAUGUUAGAAAAAGGUCUAUCAUAAAGAGGACAACACUUUUAAUGUCAUAAUUCUUCAAUUACAAAUUGUUGUAUGAAGAAAUAAGAGUUGCUUUGAACAACCCUUAGUCAAUGCAAACACUUAGUGCUUGUUUCUUUGUUAAUGAACAAAGAACUUGAGAAGAAAGCACAAAGGCAUGGACACUUUAUGUGCCAUGAUUCUUCACUUACAAAUUUGUUGUUAUGAAGAAAUGAGAGUUGCCUUGUACAACUCUUGAAAGUUUGUAAUUAUGUUUAGAACAUAAUGGUUGGUUGACAAAAAUAGUCCAUUAACAUGGACUUAUGAUGAUUUUGAAUCAUUGAGUGUUGAAGUGAUAAACCACUUAACGAGACGGAAACUAGGCAAGGACUUCACCUUUGUGUCCCUAUCCUAAUGGUUCACUAAGUUUAUUGUAAACUAUGUAGUGAACAAUAACCACAUGCUCUCCAAAAUGUUUGAUGUGUAUAACACAAUUGAAAUAAGUUUCAAGAGAGAUAGUGGGAGUUUAGGGACCAUGACUAAUGUAGUCAAAGGUGAAAGUCAAAUAAAGAAGAUAAAUAACUCCAAGGGAACAAACUUUCUUUAUGAAAGGAUGGACAUUGGAAGGGGUAUUUGCAAGAAAUGUCUUGCAAGUGUCAAGAACACACCUUUCGAAGGUGUUGUAAAAUUGUUCUUGAAUAGUUCAAAACAGUUGGUUCUUCUACUUGAAUGCUUGAUUCCGUAUUAGUAACUAUGUUUUACAAUCGUUGUAAAAGUGUGACUAAUAAGAAGUAGAAGAUUAAUGAGAGAAGAGAAAGUACUUCACAUUCGGAACGUGAAUCAAAUGUAGAUCUCUGCGAAAGCAGAUGGUACUUACUUCCUCAUAUGAACUACCAAAGAAAUUGGAAAAACAAAGAUUGUCUUUAUAUUCCAAUUUUAAGGAACUAAAUUCCGUCACUAUAGUGAAAUGGAUAAAUGUUUUGUUUGACAAAACAUUGUUCUUUAUUAAUCAAUGAUUGGAUUAUGGUAAUCUAAUUAAUUGUCUCUAUAGUAGAGAUAAUAUGGUAGUGUUAACUGUUUUAAAAAAAAAAAAAAUGAUGCUUAAAACCCAAAAGGUUGCAAGGUAGUGACUAAUCCCAACUAAAGUUGUGAUACCUCUAAAACAUAAAUUACGAGUUGGUCAUAGAUGGAUGCUUUGGAUCGUUAGAUCCGGAUCCAAUACCUUCUUGUUAAAAUUGUAUAGAGGCGAAAUGUUCGAAUCUUUAUUCUUUUGGAAAGAAGAAAGAAUCACAAAGUUGUUGAGGUUAAUUCACUUAGAUGUUAGUGGCACUUGUCCACAAACAUAAUACUACUCAUGUUGAAUAACAUUCACCGAAGAUCACUCUCGGUUGGACUAUAGUUUAUUUUGAAUAAACACAAGUCCGAAUACUUUGCAAAAUGUUUCAAAGAAUUCAAGUAAUGUAAGUUGAUGAGUAAGACAUCUAAAGUAUUUACCUCCUUAGAUUUGAUCCAAGGAAAGGUAACAUUUUAGAUGAGUUUCCUUGAAAGAAAUCAAGGAAAUAAGCAUCAUAAGAUAAAGUAUUUCUCCAUUAGGAGAAGAACGAACUUGAAUAAGAUUUAGUUCGUUAGAUGUUAUCUAUUACCCAUAUAUAGGAUAUAUACUUCUAAAACAAUAUGAUUGUCAAUUGAGAAGAUCUUCCAAUAUUUUCAUGACUCCAUAAGAUGUAGUUGGAAAGAAAGACAAAUCUUAAGCAUGUUAAGAUUUGGGGUUGUGUGCUAAUAAGCAAUAUUUGUUUGAUAACAAUCUUGUAGGAUAUCCUUAAAAUUAACUUUUGGAUAUCGCUUCUAUAAACCAACUAACAAAUGUUGUUUUUGUUGGGUAGUUCAUUGUAAUCCUACAAUGUGAUUUGCCUAAAAAAGCAAAUGAACGAGAGAUAGAACUCAAAGAAUGGGUUCUUUGAGAGACAAGAAAAGUAAUCAACAAAUAUAACAACCUAGUUCCUAUACCACAAGCUCCAAGGUAGUCGAUAAGGAUUUAUAAACCGUCUCAGUUGAAUGGUUUUGAACUUUAUGACUAUGUCAUAGAGUUGCACCUCUUAAUUCGAAAGAAAUAAGAAUGAAAAUCCUUAUGACUACAUUGAGUGCAUAUACGAUAUAUACUCAAGGAAAAUGGUAAAGUACCAUUUGACCUCGAAAUAAUGAAACCUUCAUAAGCUAAUUGGUAGCUUAAGGUGACUACAAUCAAAGAGAAUGGUUGACUUUGAAGGAACCAUUUUUGACGUAGUCUUAGUUUCAAUUAAUUCGAAGAUUGCUAGCUACAACUAAAUGGUGAUUCAAUGUUUGGACAUAAUAUGGGUUUCCGAAACCAUUAUUAAGAUAGUCUUGAUAAUAUAUGUCUAAAACUAUGAAUCACAAGACAUGUAAGUUGUAGAGAUCCAUCCAUCAUGGAUCUUAGCAAGCUAGUGGGAGCUAUUUGCAUUUUAUGAGAAAAGGAUCAAAUCGUUUGAUUUCUCAUAAAGAUGUAAAUGAAUCUUUUGUUUACUAGGUUUACAAAAGAUUAGUGGGAGUUAAUCAUGUUCCUAAAAAUUUAAAUAUAUAUGAUAUAUUAAUUUUGGAAAUGAAAAGAAUACUUCUUCGUUAAAGUUAUGACUUUAAUACAUUAUAUGAAGAUAGAAUGUAUAUGGGAGAUAUAGUCUAUAUACAUGGGAUGGAAAUCUAUAAUGAUAUAUUUCAUGAUAUAAUUGGAUUAUAUCAAUCCCUAAUAAUAGACAAUGGAUGCUAGGAAGUUUCUCAUAUGAUGAUAAACUUCAAUAAGAAGGACGAUUCUAGUGAGACUAGCAAGUUGCCCUUCUCAAAGGGAACGUGCCCCCUUUGACUCCCAAAGAAAUAAUGCGUAAAUAGAAUCCUUUAUGCAUACGCACAAAGGUGAUUUAUGUAUUUCAUAUUGUAUGAAAAACAUUGAUAUGAGUUGUACCUAGAACGGUACAAGACGAUAUCAGUGCAAGCCCAGGAUCAGAACCAUGGCAACUGUCAAGUGAGUCCUUAAGUAUUUAAGAAAUACUAAAGGAUAAAUUCCUCAAAGAAUGAGGAAGAAUUAGAGUAACGUAAUGGAAGCGUAAAUGUAUUAGAUUAUGAAUCUAAUCCAUCAUUGGAUGUUUCUUCAUUAUGAAUGAAGAGAUAAACGAAUAUCUCUUUAUUAUGACUAAAAGAGAUAUUUGGAUGGAAACAUUAAAGUAAUGACUUUAGUGUGUUCCAUUAUGAAUGCAAGAUAUAUUGCCAUAUAGAAGUUUACAACAAUGUUGUUUGGAUGGGAAAGUUCAUUUAUGAACUCUCUAUUCGGUUCCAACCAGAAAGUGUAUGACACUAAUGGGGCGAUAGCUCAAGCCUGGGAAUCAAGGUCUCAUCAAGAUCCGAACUCAAAUGAGAGA
rnacentral:lncRNA from 1 species